GGGUAUGAGGACGGUUGGCUGCAACAUCUGUCACCACAGUGAUCACCAGGUUGACUUGGCUGAUCUGGCUGGCUAGGUGGUGUCCCCUUCCUCUCUCACUGCUUGGUGUGCCUCCCUCCCAAAGCAGAGUAGGUGGUGGAAGUGGAAGACCUUCCUGAAUAGAGGACGACUGAUUUUCAGUCAAGAGUAGGUGAAUUGCUGUGCCCACUCCCCCCAACCCAGAUAGCUGUGCCCACU
rnacentral:sRNA from 1 species